rnacentral:rRNA from 1 species
UAUGUAGGGUGCAAGCGUUAAUCGGAAUUACUGGGCGUAAAGCGUGCGCAGGCGGUGAUGUAAGACAGAUGUGAAAUCCCCGGGCUCAACCUGGGAACUGCAUUUGUGACUGCAUCGCUGGAGUACGGCAGAGGGGGAUGGAAUUCCGCGUGUAGCAGUGAAAUGCGUAGAUAUGCGGAGGAACACCGAUGGCGAAGGCAAUCCCCUGGGCCUGUACUGACGCUCAUGCACGAAAGCGUGGGGAGCAAACAGG